rnacentral:rRNA from 1 species
AUUGAACGCUGGCGGCAGGCCUAACACAUGCAAGUCGAGCGAGCGGCGGACGGGUGAGUAAUGUCUGGGAAACUGCCUGAUGGAGGGGGAUAACUACUGGAAACGGUAGCUAAUACCGCAUACCAUCAGAUGUGCCCAGAUGGGAUUAGCUAGUAGGUGGGGUAACGGCUCACCUAGGCGACGAUCUGUAGCGGGUCUGAGAGGAUGAUCCGCCACACUGGGACCGAGAAACGGCCCAGACUCCUACGGGAGGCAGCAGUGGGGAAUAUUUGACAAUGGGGGGAACCCUGAUCCAGCCAUGCCGCGUGUGUGAAGAAGGCCUUAUGGUUGGAAAGCACUUUAAGUGAGGAGGCGUUACUCGCAGAAUAAGCACCGGCUAACUCUGUGCCAGCAGCCGCGGUAAUUC